GGCCCCGACACAGCGAGGGACAGGAGAGGAGAACAGAACACAAGAGAGAAGCGCCCUUGUGCUCCGCCUCGGCUUUCAUCUGCGGAGCGUGUAGCUGCAAGUGCGGCGUGUUUACAAAUGCAGGCAUUGCAAGAUCCCUUGAACUGUGUCCUAGUACAAAAGAGGCUUUGAAACGAGAAACACGUUGUCAUGGCAUGUUCCAGGCCAGCAGCACCAGACUGAACCAGAUAAUUGCUGUUUCUGCUUCAGCGUGGAAAAAGCAGCAGGUGUGUUUCUGCCCCAGGCACAUCACCCCGUGGAUGUUAUGUUACAGUUAUAUCACAGCCAGGGACUUUGGAAAUGGCCAAACAGGAAAGCUCUGCCUGGGAAGGGUUUUUCACCACAUGUGCCCUGUUAAAACUGCAAAUGGAGCAGGCUGGGUAAUACCACACAGCUGAUGGAAACAGGAAUGCCUGGAAAUAAAAGGCAGCUCCCCCAGCUCCUCUCGUGCUUGCUGCUGUCCUUGGGCUGCUGGAGCUGCCUGGGCUCUGUCUUGGGCUGGGUGCCCCUGGCACCCAACUCCUUGCACCCACACAGGGGCAGGCCUGGCUGAGCAGUACCCAGGAGGGGCUCCCACGUUGUUGUUUUUUGAAUGCCAGCUCAGCCCAAGGAUGAUGGCCACGGUCUGUGGCUGCCAGAGCUGUUGCACCAGAGGAAUAAUUAGUUU